rnacentral:rRNA from 1 species
UCGGGUUUAGUGGCGCACGGGUGCGUAACAUGUGGGAAUGUACCCUAGGGUAAGGAAUAAUAUCUGGAAACGGAUACUAAUGCCUUAUAAUGACUCCGGUCCAAAGAUUUAUCGCCCUAGGAUCAGCCCGCACCUGAUUAGUUUGUUGGUGAGGUAAUGGCUCACCAAGACUACGAUCAGUAGGGGGUCUGAGAGGAUGAUCCCCCACACUGGGACUGAGACACGGCCCAGACUCC